rnacentral:rRNA from 1 species
UGGGGAAUAUUGCACAAUGGGCGCAAGCCUGAUGCAGCCAUGCCGCGUGUGUGAAGAAGGCCUUCGGGUUGUAAAGCACUUUCAGCGAGGAGGAAGGCGUUAAGGUUAAUAACCUUAGCGAUUGACGUUACUCGCAGAAGAAGCACCGGCUAACUCCGUGCCAGCAGCCGCGGUAAUACGGAGGGUGCAAGCGUUAAUCGGAAUUACUGGGCGUAAAGCGCACGCAGGCGGUUUGUUAAGUCAGAUGUGAAAUCCCCGAGCUUAACUUGGGAACUGCAUUUGAAACUGGCAAGCUAGAGUCUUGUAGAGGGGGGUAGAAUUCCAGGUGUAGCGGUGAAAUGCGUAGAGAUCUGGAGGAAUACCGGUGGCGAAGGCGGCCCCCCUGGACAAAGACUGACGCUCAGGUGCGAAAGC